rnacentral:RNase_P_RNA from 1 species
CAGGCAGGACAUACGGCCGCGGCCGACAAGACGAAAGGUGUCGGGCGAGGAAAGUCCGGGCUUCACAGGGCAGGAUGCCGGAUAACGUCCGGUAGGGGUAACCCUCAGGAAAGCGCAGCAGAAAUGAUACCGCCGCUUAUGCGGUAAGGGUGAAAUGGCAGUGUAAGAGACUACCGCCGUCACGGUAACGGGACGGGCAUAUGCAAGCCCCAUCCGAAGCAAGACCGAGAAGAAGCGAUAUGGCGGCCCGUCAUGCUUCAGGUAGGUCGCUUGAGCCGUCCGGCAACGGGCGGUCUAGACAGAUGGCCGUACACGACAGAACCCGGCUUACCGUUCUGCCUGUAGA